AUCUCAUACACGAAUAACAAAGCUUAAGUGUAUUUAAAUAUACAAAUGUAUCAUUCAAAUCACUGUUCACUUUUCCAAUAAUCAGGAAAGAUUCUAUCAUGAUUCUCUUUGAUCUCUGAAUUGUUUUAUCGAGUAAUCUAUUUUUAGAUACGGUGAAAACCCAGAAAUUUAGGGGUUUUUGGAAUCGGGUCAGCAUGCAUAUGAAUAUAACUGUAGUUAUACUGUUUUUAGUUGGGUAUGUCACAUGUAUGACGAUAAUGUAAAUUAAAAAGAGAAAGUAUUUUUGAACAAUUAAAAAUAGUUGCAGAUACAUGUUUACAUUAAUGAUUACAUUGAUUGACCUACUUAAAUAGUUGUUUAUUGAUG
rnacentral:lncRNA from 1 species